rnacentral:lncRNA from 1 species
AAUCUAAUAAGGUUUAAAGUUGAAGGAAGGAAAUCAUUGAUGAAAGAGAGGUUCAAUUCAAGUUGUAUAAGUUCUUGAAAAUAUGCUCAUGAUGUUUACGUAAAACAAUUUAGGCCAGUCAGAAUAUAUAAGAGUUUAGAGCUAAAAGCUUUAAAAACAAUAUAUAAAGAAGUCUGCAUCGGGAAGAGAAAGAUAUAUAACCUUGGUGGCUGAUCAGGUGAAGAACACUUGAUGAUCGGAGAUUACUUUGUUGAACAAUCGAUCGAACAUGGUUAUGGAGAAAAAGAUGUAUUUAUAAAUAAUGGGAGAAUUUUUCUUGAUAAUUCAAUACAAGUAUUGUGUCACAACUCUAAAUUUCUACCAACAACGACCAAGUGUAUAUUCCUUUUUUUAUAUACAUGAAUACCGAUUCCUAGGGGAAAUCUUAUAUACAAGCAUUUUCAAAACUUGGAGUUUAAGCUAUUCCGGAUAGAUUUUGGAACUAUUCCGGAUAAGUUUAUAAACUCUCAUAAAUAAAAAAAAUGUGAGACUUGGAGUUAUGAAACUUGGUCUGACAAAAUCUGACUGGCUUGAGAAGUCAUAUCUUGGCAUGAAGGCUUCUUUGUAUAACAAAGGAUUUGACUUGUGUAUUCUUUUCGGACGGCUAGACCUGGUUCCCCAAACACUAGUAUAUAACAAUCUCAAAAUAAGUAUAAAAAGACAAUACUCUUUUUAUUUUGUGUGUACUAAACUGCAAUCAAAUUGCAUGUCGUGGACUUCUUUGUAGUCUUAUAUAUUUAUAGGUAAAGUUGGAUUUGCAGCAAGACUAUUACAUCAAUAGUAAAAGUAUGAUUCAAGAUUUGAAAUAUACAUUGAAAGCUCUACAAAGACCUGAGCCAGAGUAAAAGAGGGUUGUUGUGGUCAUUGUGAUACUGUUCUGAAUCUAUCAAAGAUUUUGAACAAAGAAAGUUGCACCCAACCAAACUCAUUAGCUCUCUGUCUUUUAUUUAUAUUGGUUUGAUCUCAUGUAAACUUCACAUGAGAGUUGCUUUUAAGGAAGAACAACCCUCAAACGAUUUUUUCUAUGAUUAGUAGAUAAAUUAAAAGGUGACAAUGAGAUUAAUUUACAUUCUUUUAACAAUUAGUUUUUACCAAUGAUCAUGAUUCAUCAGUUCUGGCUACGCCUGCAGGUCAUAUUGACCCAAACAUGAACUUCUAUCAUCUAAUAUGCUUUUUCUGCCUAACUACAACAAACAACAAAUGAAACAUAUCCUUCAUUAAAAAUCACCUAACCCGGUUCCGCUUUCUCCCCAUCAGUGCAGGAGAAUCGAGUCCUCGAUUUGCUUGUCUACCGUCCUUUUUUCUCUCUACCGCCGCUCCCUUCUUACCAGCUGCUGAGGAUUUCACAGCAGAAACUGGUAAAUCCGUAACAGACCUUUUGUUACCCCUGCUUGUAGACUUUGCCAUAUCUUUCACAACCGUUUUAAGAGGGUGCGCCCCAGUUCUUGGUUUUUUAGCUGCCAGGCUCAUUCGGACAGCAGGAGAUGUAGAUUUCUGAGGAAGAAUGGGAACCUUUGUGCUUGUAGUAAUGCUGCUGCUACGAUGAGGAGGAUGAUCUUCUGUCAAAUAGUGUCUCAGAGACUUGGUAACAAUGUCUCUAAGGGACACCGCGGAUUUGUAUUCACGAGUGUUCUUAGAGUAAAAUAUAGCUGCGUUAUUCGCCACCAAAAGAAAGUCCCUAAAGAGUUCUUUGGCUGAAGAUAUCGAACAACCGUUGAUCCUUGAUUGUAUUGUGUCUAAAUCCAUAUGCCUCUGUACCAGUUUCUUGUAUCUUCCCCUUUUCUGUUCAAUACAAAAAAUAGACAAGAGAGGAAAUAAGCGAAAAAGGCGGUUUCAUGGUAAGACUAAAAAGCUCACCAUAUUAUGAUCAUUACCUGGCUAUCAAGCCGUCUACGAAAGACAAGUGCACAUUCGUUCUGUGCAAUAGAAUUGUAUAUCUUCAUAAGCUCCUUGGGUAGAGCCAAACCAUGACCUCUGCUUUGGCUGUUGCUAGUAGAAGCAGGUUCUUUACACCUAGAAAUGCUAGCAAUAUCCGCAGAAGUAUCCAACAAAUCGCUUUCUUCCACAGCGCUAACUUCCGUCACUUCUUUACCAACACUGCAAUCUUUUCGUUUUCUCUUGCCUCGUUUCUUCCUCAUACUCGGAAGCACUUGUCCUCCUCCGUACACAGAUUCGAAAAUGUCGCUGUGUAGUAUGCUUUUCGUCUUCUCUUGCUCUACUACUGCUGGUGCUUCUGACUUAGCUUCAGGUGACCAGUUUGUUGUGAUCAGUUCUUGCUGUGUGAAACUACCAACUGAUGACAAGUCUUUGGAUGUAUCUUUGCUCGUGCAUUCUCCUCCACCUUCGGAUUUAGGGGAAGGCUCGAGUGAUAACGUUCGACUAGAAUCAUAAUUGUUUUGUUGACAUUCAUCAUUACUUUCUGACUUCAGACUCUGUAGCUUUGAUUCCAAAGACCUGAAAAACAGAAUAUCAUCGCAACCAAUCGCAACAUUUUAACUCCGGUUUUUCCAUUGAUUGUCGGAAACGUUUACGACAUUUGGAAGAACUUUGCAAUUAGAAACAAGUGCUAACCCAAUAGAGUCUUCGGAUUUUAGUAAAGCUGCCUUAAGCUCAGCUACUCGUUUCUUCUUCAGCUCUUCAAACCAAGCUCUACAAGAACAUAAACAUAUAGAAACUACAGAUAAUCAAUCGUAGUAGGUCAUUAAACUCCUGUAUCAGACAAGAAGAAACAAAUCUUUACUUGCAUCCCAAAUAACGUUUCCGCAAGUCCUUGUACUUGGCCUUGCAUAUCUGCAAAUAAGGAAAUAGGAUUUAGCAUAUUCAAAAGAAAAGACAAUAUCAAGAAAUGACCAAACUCAGCCUGCAAUAUAUCAAAAACCACAAGACAAUGUUCGAAUAGUGUCUAUAGUAGUCUAACAUGAACAGGAGAAUCAAAACAAUGUGUACUUGACCCUAAAAGCUUUCUUGACACACAAGCGAUGAAUCUAAUGCUUCUAAAUCCACCGACAACACCACUGUUGUUUGUUCUAUCUUAAAUUUUUUACCUUCUUUUUUUUCAAAUUUUAAAAAUUAGUUUCAUAAUACAUAGAAUUUUCUUUAAAUGACCUAACCUAAUUAUCAUAUUUUUUUAUAAGAUUCCGACAUUAAUCUUAUCGAAAACAUCAAAUAAUUAAAUUAGAAAUUUAAGGGGAAACGAGGAGAUUGAGAGAGAGACCCCAAACCUCAGGUGUGAAAAUCUCAGGUAAAGAAUGAGAACGGAGCUCGUCGGCGACGACGGUCCAAUCACCGGUUCCAUGACGGAGAACAGCACCGCCGAGAAGAAGCUCCUCCCAUGUUCCCCAAUCACUCUCCAUCGUCGUCGUCACCAUCAUCAUCAUCAUAAACAAAUAAAAAUAAAAAUCAAAUCACGCGUGUCCCUUACGCGCUUCUCGGUUUUGAAAAAAAAACCCAAAAUUAAACUACGCAUCCAAAAGCGCACGUUAGCGUCUUUCCACCUAAUCUAUUUUUCUCUCUCCGACCACUCAAUUUCUCAAACCAGAGAGAGAGAGACAGAGACAGAGACAACAAACCAAAGAACCUAAAAAAAAAUUAAAUUAAUUUUGGUAAUCUGGUAUGAUAAGACAAGAAGCUAAGAAAAGCCGUUUCGAGUGGGUUUGUGUCGGAGGUUAUUACACGAUAAAGCUGUAUUCCGACAAGAAAAAAUGAGAGAUGAAAAAAUCUAAAAAUCAAAAUUAGUAAAGAAGGAAGAAAGGAAAAAAAAAAUCAGAGGUGGGAGAGAAAAGGGUUGACGAGAAGGGUCUUUCUAACUUAAGCUCGACGUUUUGUGAAAAUGGAGAAAAAUUGAUGGUUGUGGUUUUGUUGUUUUAUUUUGUUUUUCUUGUUUUGUUCAAAAAGGCAAAUAAGAAAGAAGAAGAAGAAGAUUGGUUUGUUGUUUUUUUUUGAACAAAGAAGAGACUUACGACUAGAUUUGUGUGCCUUUGUUUUUUCUCCCUAAAUAAAGUAAUUUUAUUUUUAUAAACAGAAUUUUUCUUUUAUAUUUCUUUAUUAUUCGUCAUUACCACAACAACUUGUUUAGAAUAUAUUUUUUUAAUUUUUAUUUUUAGAACAUUAGUGUUUUUUUAAUAUCAUAAUCCAAAACUGAUUUUAGAAUUGAAUAGUUUCAUCGAGAAUAAUACAAUGAACGAUGUUGCUGACAAAAAGAAGAAUUAUUUAUAUAUUUAUCAUUCGUUUAAUCGAUGGCCUAAUAUUGGAUGAUGACUAAUUUAUUCAGUAACCAAACUGAAAAAUAAUCAAUCACUAGAUUUAAAUUUUUAAAAUUAAAUAUACCUCUUCACUAAAUAUAUAUUAAAUCUCUAAUCAUCAUAAAAUCUAAACUAUUUUUAGAAAUAUUAAUUGGAUUCCAGAUUAGCUGCUUCUUUUGUCUGUCCCAUUAUUUAAAAAGACAGAGAUGUUUCUUCGUUAAUCUACUUCCUAAAUUUGAGAUUGAAGAACACUAAAUAUUCAAUAACAAAGACUCUAAUCAUGUGUACUAACCUCUAUUGGAAAUUAUGUCAAUAUCACAUUUGGUAUAUGAAAAACGUAUAUUUGAUAAGUCUAUUUCCUUAACCUUUAAAUGACAUGACCAAUUCCAAAUAUUAGAUAUAAGUCGGAGGACCAAAAGUAGUAGAUUGCCAAAUAUAAUUCAUAUACCGAUGGUGUCUUCUCAUUAGGAUUGCAUAUUACAUUCACAUGGAGAGAGACAUUGUAAUUGAUAUUUUAGCUAAACAUUUGAGAUUUCGCUGAAUCAAUAAUCUAAAGAAGCACAACAACUUCAAUCCCCAAGAGAUUGAUUGAUUUACAGCAUAUACCGAUUGUUCGCAGAGUGUUUUCCGUGUUCUUCCUGGGCGACUAUCUCACAAAAUCCGCCAAAAGAAACUGUGACUGAUCGAUGAGUCUUCAAUGCAACAGAUGGAAAAUCGCCGGAAGGAACAUGAAGACAGUUUCUUCAUAAUGUACAGAUUGGAAAAAUCACGGAGAGGCCUGAAUCCGAAAAUCUGAAUCUGGAGCUAUGGUGUUUGAAGAACUAGGUUUAGUUCUUGAGCCUUUCUUGCUAUGAGACCACCUCGCCUGUUUUCAGAUGAAAGAGAGCGACGACAAGAGGGAAAAAUUUAGACAACCGAAAGCAAACACGGAUUAACAAGAGCUAGAAUGGUUCAGAACUUGACAUUGAUGAUUGAGAAUUAAGUUUUAGAUGUUAUAGAAGUAUUCUUUUACCUUGUGAGUAGUGGAAGAAUCUUGUGAACCUUUUGCAAUUCAGCAGAACAACUUUGGCAGAUCUGUAACCUGCAUUUUCACAAUAUCAUAUUGUCAAUAUGUUUUACUAAUAGUGUAGCAAAAGGUGUGGCAUGAAUAUAUAAGAGGAGCAGAAAUGAUAAGUACCUUUCUUCUGCAUGAAGAUCAACGCCAACAACUCGUCGUGCUGAAACAGUUGAUUGUAUUACUGUACCAAACACUGCUACAAGCUUCAAGAGCAUUUCCAAGGAGACAUUUACAGGCCUAAACAAAUUAUCAAUUUCCUCUGUUACGUCAAAAGCUCAUAAUUUUAUCACAAGAACAGAGACACUAACAAAUGUAUUUUCUUGCCAUGCCCUUAUUCGCAAGCCAAAUCAUGAAGAUCACUUUAUUUAUAUCUCAAAGUCAAAUCAAACCAAAGUCUUAAGGUUGAGUAUAUAAUAAGAUAACUUACCUCUCAGUCCUGCUGCCCAACAAGCCUGUGAGGACGGGUGCUAACUGAGAAAACAGAUCCAAUGUUAAAAUCUCUGUUUUGUCAGUCAGAAUACUGAUCACAUCUGCUUGAACCUGUUCCAGUUUAAGCGAGUCAGCUUUUUCCAAACAUAUAAGCAUAUAAAAAAGACGGGCACAAGUAUAUCUACUGGGAUACUUACAGAGUGAUCUGACAGCUUUCUCAAGGCCAUGAUCGCACCUUUAAUAUCACUACGUUCCCAAAAAUGUCUUACAAUCUGCAUGUUCAUGAUCAACGAUGAAAAAAGAAAUGAACAGAAAAAGGACAAGAAAACAAGAGAAACUAUGAAAAAAAGGAUUAGCAGAGACAAAAUUUACCUGUAAUUUUGUUAACCUUGAUUGAAGAGUGUUUAACACCUCAUUAUGCGUUUCCAUUAAAGUCUCCCAAAUGUCACCAUCAUUCUCCCUCCCAGAUAUCUGAGGCUCUUCUUUCUGCAUAAGCCAAACAAAUCAAAAACUUAAUAUGUAUUCAGAGCUCUUUCAACUUUGUAUUCCUUGCAAUUCCAAUUUUUUUCCUCUUAUCAUCAGUGACGACCAAUAUCAAUUAUAGAACGGGCUACAUUUCAAAGAUGGAGAUGUCUAUUAGUUUCCUAAACUUAUCACUAGAAGCUUACCUGGGUCAAAAUAUCAGAAGCUGGUUGCGUUUCUGAUAUAUAUGCCUCAUCCAGUGUCAUAUCAGUCACCUGAUCAAGUGCUGCAGGUGUUGACAGUGUUUGCGUUGGGCUAUAUCGUUGCCUUGAUCUUAUAUUAGAUGCAUUAGAUGUCAAGUUACUUGCUUGACUGUUUCUCACAGGAAUUACACGGGCAGGAGAGUUCCUAGCUGAUCGUGUUAAUGCAACUUGAGGCUCAUAAGAUGGCAUAUUUUCUACUUGAGUGAGUUUCAUUGUCAUUACACGGGCUGGAGACGUCCUAGCUGAUCGUGAAGAUGAUACAGGACGCUCAUCAUAUGUAUUAGAUGCUUGAUUAAGUAUCACAGGCAUUACUCGCGCUGAAGUGGUCCUAACUUGUCUUGUUGAUAUUACAGGAGGCUCAUCAGAUUUCAUGUUAGUUUUUUUACGCUGAUUGAGUAUCACAGGCGUAACUAGGGCUGGAGAAGUCUUAGCUUGUCGGGUGGAUGUUACAGGAGACUCAUCAGAUAUCAAAUUAGUAGCUGAAGACCUAUCAGGUCGUGUUGAUGUUACAGGACGCUCAUCAGAUUUCAUUUUUGAUGUCUGAUUGAGUAUCAUAGGCAUAACUGGAGCUGGAGACGUCCUAGCUUGUCGUGUUGAUGUUACAUCAGACUCAUCAGAUGUCAAAAUAGUAGAAGUCCUAUCAGGUUGUGUUGAUGUUACAGGAGGCUCAUUAGAUUCCAUAUUUGAUAUCUGAUCGACUAUCUCAGGCAUAACUGGAGCUGGUAAAGUCCUAGGUUGUCGUGUAGAUGUUACACAAGACACAUCAGAUGCCAAAUUAGUAGAAGAAGUCCUAUCAGGUCGUGUUGAUGUUACAGGAGGCUCAUCAGUUGCCAUAUAAGUGUCCCGACCGAGUACCACAGGCAUCACUCUGACUGGAGUACUCCUAGUUCGUCGUGUUGAUAACACAGAAACUUCAACUGGCAUCGAGUUAGUUGCCUGAUCAAGUUUAACUGGCAUUACCUGGGUGGGCGUCAUACUGACUGCCUGUACUGAUGCUGUCUGGGGUUCUUCCUCUACAGCAUCAGAGCUCUGAACUAUUGUUGCACUGGCUGCUUUAUCUUCAGUAUGAGUAACUUUUUCUCCUCUUUCAAACCUCUCAACCAAUGACCGCGUCCUUCCCGAAACAACUUUUACUGUAAACACAGCAGUUUUUAAAGAAUUAAUAACCAGAUGACUAAUAUGCUACCAAAGAAAAACAAAGACCGCAAACUUUGAAUGGCUAACCUCCUCUAACAACCUUGACGGAGUUUGAUUCUUUGUUACCUUCUGGGGAUUCAAGGCCUACAUGACACAAUAUUUACAACCAAUUAUAAACUGAUCAUUGCCUGAAGACCGAGUAACUUGACCACAACCAGCAUGAAAACUGUAAAGGAAGUCAUAAACGCAGCUAAAGAUUUAGAUGUAGCAACCUAAAAGCUAAUGCUAUUACAUUUCUGCCGGGUCAUUCUUCCAGAUUGAUUUUUGUUCUCGACUGUCUUUUAUACAAUAAUUCACUCCUUAAUGGACAGUUUUCAAAGGUAAAAGGGAAGCCAUACACAUAAACGUUGCACUAGUUUUAGCAUUGACUUUAGAAGCAAAAAAAACCCAUAGUUUUGAAUCAAGACUUACUUUUCAUUUCAUCACCAGCUUUCUCUGGUGAUAGAACUCUUUCUGACCUGCUUGAAAUGCUCUUGUUAUCGAUAACGUCCUCACACGGGUUACUACCUCUGUCAUCCUUGAGCCCUGUUGGUGAUUCUAUGUAUUUUGAGGACUCUAACCCACUGUUUUUACUGUCUAAAGCUCCAGAAUCAACAGAUGUCGCCAAUUUUGCCUCAUUAUAUCUAGUACUUGGUGAUCUCUGUACAUGAGGUGGUUUCAGCACCAUACCUGAGUCAAAGAUGGAAAGGUUUCCAAAAGGAUAGGAUUAGAUAAUCUAAAAACUUAAAAUUUGAUGAAACUAAAGAAUGAACUGGGAGAACCUACAUUUCGCUUCAUCAGUUGGUGAUUCUGGUAAUAAAGCUUGUUCAAACUUGCUGGUUAUACUCUUGAUGAUUGAAUCGUCAACAUUAAAUGGUUUCCUGACACUUCUUUCUGAAUCAAAUGCCGUCCCAGUAUCUAGCUUCUUCUCACUGUCCGAUCCACUUUUCUUUGGAAUCCCGAAUUGAAUGGCCACUGACUGCUUGGUUUCAUCAUACUUUGUUGGCGUCUUUCUUACAUGAGCUGGUCUCAGCAGCAUGCCCGGUUUUGUUUUUAAUAAAGUGAUAGAUUCCUUUCCUGAAUCAGAAGAGUCUUUCCCAAUUUUACUAUCUCGUGGUACAACACUUUGCACUAUGAUAGAUUUAUUGUCCCCUUCUUGUCCAGUCGAAGUUUCUUUGACUUUCGGAGUAAUUAGAGAUACUGACUUAUGUGCAACAGCCGAAUUUCCACCUGCAGCGUUGAAGAGGAGAGAGAGUAUUAAACCAAAUAUAAACGAUAGGCAUACAGAAGUCCAGGUCACAAUGGUUAUGGCUAUCACUAUUGCAGAGAAACUGACGCUGAAUACUGAAAAUCACAGUCCAGGUCACAAUGGUUACGGCUAUCACUAUUUAAUUCAGAAAAAAGACCACUGUUACAGACUCAAUUCAAUAUCAACUGCUACAAAAUUUCGGAAUAAACACAAACACAUGUACGAAAAAUAUAUGUUUAGAGCAGGCCUAAAGAUAAGUUAGCUUUCCUACCACUAGCGCAAGUAAACCAGAGUUGGUGAUAUCCGUUAAUAGUCUACUGAAAUCAAUCGUUAUGUGCUUAAUUUCUAGAUAUAGUUGGCAUGACAGUAACUAGUAAGCUACCAUCCUGAGACUUCGAGAAACCUAACCAAAAGCUGCCAUACCCCACUUGAAAGGUCAAGUUUCGAUCAGUUCAAGGUAGAAAAUAAAUCCACAAACAUCGAAACAAUAUUAACAUUUACUCACAGUCGAUGUAUAUGUUUUUGAUCUCUUUUGUCUCAUAAUCUGGAGAUGAGCUGCGCCUUGAGCUACUCCUUAUUUUAUCAGAGGACUGAUCAUCCAGUGCACUGAGUAUUUUCUCCACGCAUUCCUUUUUAUCCACAGAUCCAGUGCCAUAUGGCUCAAUUUGCUGUUUUAAUAAAGGAAACAAGAAAAACACAAAGAAAAAAGAAUGAACUCUCGAAUUUUUAGCUACAUGCUUCAUAUAACUUUUUAAAGGUAUGGACAAUCACAAUAGCUGACAUACUGAUAUAUCUGACACCCAAAUCCCUACGGAAUUUUGGUAGUACGAACAACCCAGGAGCUUCCCUUCGCUGAUGCAUAAGUCACCAAGCGUUGACCAUCCCAUAUCAACACCAUCAUGGCUAACUACUGGUUCCCAUGAAUAAACCUGAAUUAUGAGUAUCAAAUUAUGAUAUGAAUGUUUUAAACACUGAGAACCCUCAAUAUGGUAAAUUUCAUCACAAAAACAAAUCAAAACCUUUAAGCUAUCAUCCAAACCACAAAAAAGGGUUCGCCCAUCCGGAUGAAAUUUGAUUGAACGAACUCCAGUAGCCUGUGAAACAAGGAAAUCCACAUCCCAUGGAAAUUAUGUGAAUAAGAUGUUCUAAGACAAUACUACAAAGACAGCUCAAGCAAAAACAUUAUCUCAUGAUUCUCAUCAGAUGCUACUUUUUGCGAAAAAAUUAUAUUUACUUCUUCUACACCUUUUUAAAUAACAAAAUCAUCACUUGGAAUUUCCCUUAACAGUCUUCAGAGAAAGACGAAGAAUAAGCAGAUUUCUGAUAUUGGUAUUGUAUGAGGUUUUCAAGGUAAUCACGCUAAAAGGAAAUAUUGGUAAAAACACUUGUGAUAGAUUCCCCUGGAAAAUCAGUAUCUAGAGAUACAACAGGGUAGUACCUCUGGUCGGGUAGAUCCAAUCAAUUCAAACGUUUCCAAAUCCCAGAACUUUACAGUCCUGUCUGCAGAACCUGAAUAAUGAAUAGAGAGUGUGAAAUCAAGACCUCAAUAUAAAACGUGUGAUUAAAGAGAGGAUAGUUAAUCUACCCACUCAAAAUUGCCACCAAGUUACCCUUAAAACGCCUGAAAAACAAAGAAACACAUACUAACCUGUGGCUAGGAGGAACUCGAGUGGGUGGAAGUCUAGUGAACGGAUAGCUCCUUCAUGAAGUUUAAAUUCAUGCAAAAGCUUUCCAGCAGUCAAAUCCCAUACCUAUUGGAAACAAUAUGUAGUACAUUGUUCAAAGAUCAAGUUGGAAAAAAAUGAUCCACAAGUUUCAUUUGUUGAAAAUGGUGUCCUUACCUUUACAACAUUGUCAAGUCCUCCUGACACUACCCAACGACCAUCAGGAGUAAAUCUAAUAGUGUUGAUGCCACGAGUAUGACCCUUGUACGUCUGUAUGCAUCCCUUUUUUCUGAUGUCCCAAAUCUUUAGAUUCGCGUCACUUGAUCCCGAUGCCAAAAAUUCACCAAAGGGAUGAAAUUCAACAGCAGAACAAUUGGAUCUAUGUCCAGUAAAAGCUCGAACCACUACACUUCAAGGGCAAGAGUGAAAAUGUUAGACCUCAUAAUUCUAAACUAAACAAUAUAUUUAGUCUGGUACACUGCUCAGAUAACUGGACCCAUAACCCACAUUAACCAUAACUCAAAUGGUAUCUAAUAUAUUCCAGUUAAAUGAUGAGACUAGUUCUAUAUAUAAGAAGCAAUAAAUAUUCUAAUUGGAGAGCAGAAAAUCAAUCAACUAACUCUUUGCUUCUUCUACAUCCCACAGCUUUAUCACACCGGAAGAAGCUCCAGCGAGCACCAAAACUUCUGCGGAGUCAAAAGCUACUGAAUCCACUGCACUAGUAUGUCCACAUAGACUCUGCCAAUAAAGAUAUGAAAAGGAUAUAGCAUCAUUCUUUUUUGCUCAAGAAAUUAGUAGAAACAAAACACAUACUGAAGAAAGGAAAUGUGAAACAAACCAUUAAAGAAGUAGGCUUGCCGAUCGCCCAAAGGUUGACUUUGUAAUCAUCACCACCAGUUAUAAAGAGACGUGAUGUCUUCUUUCCAAUACUUAAGCAAUUCACAUUUGCAGAAUGUGCCAAAAACUCCUCUAAGUUCCCAACAACUCAAGUUAAGUUAUAAACAAAACCAGAGACAAGAACAUAUCAACAAAAAUGAAACAACCUUUUGAAGCAACCCGACAUGAAAACAUAAAACAGGUCAACAACAAUGGGAAAUCAAAUCAUAUCCAGAAACAUUCAAGAUGAUAAACACACGGAGAAAAAAAGAAGAAACAUAUUAAUUGCAGUGUCUUUUUCUACCAUUUUGCUCUCAGUUUGAUUAAGCAGACAAUAAUAGAAACAUUUUGACCCGGAAAUUAAUAUCUGCUAGAAUCUUGAAAAUGCUGAACCUUAUCAAGAAGCAAUGAAACCAAAGUUUGUUCUUGAGAGUACAUAGAAAGUAAACUCUAACGAUUCAGUGAUAAAUUACUCAGAACCCAGCUAAAAGCCAAGGCACCACAGCUAAAGAAUCAAACAAAAUCGCCUGAAAAAUUGUAAGGAUACGGAGCUUAUAUCCACGCUUCGCCAUAAUCUACUCGAUUAUGCAGCAAAUCCGUUGAGAAAUCCAGAAUCGAAUCUAUAGCUUCCUGAAUAGAUCGGAAAAAUCGGUGAAUCGGAGCUGAGAAAAAACCCCCAAUUGUCACUAGACGACAGAGCUCGAGAUUUUAGGGAGAUUCAAAAUUGAGAAACAAGAAGAAUUGGAGAUAGCUUCCCGUUGAGAUUUGAAAAAAAUCGAGAAAAGCGUGAGAAAGAAUCAGAUUCGGGUGAAGAAGAAGAUUGAGAAAGGAACAGAGACAAAAAUCAGAUUCAAAUAGUGACGACGACACGAAGAAGAAGAAGAAACAAAAGCAAAAGAAACAGAGAAGAAGAAGAAGAAGAAGAAGAAAGUUUUUAUUUAAUUUUAUCAGAAAUUAUUUAAUUUGAUUUAUUAAUCGGUCGGUCGGGUUUAUAAAUUAAAAAAAAAAAAAAAAGCAUUUUUCUUGGACAGAGGACCUCUCUCUAUAGUUUUUUUCGAAGUUUGUUCUUCUCGGUUCUGACGAAAAUACCCUUUUGUUUUUGUCUGGUCAUUGAAUCGAAGAAGGAAAUAUUACGAAAACAACAUUGCUUCGAAUUGACUUGACUUCUCUCUAUUGGUUCAGUUUUUAUUUUCUCCAACUCCAUCAUACAAUUACAAAGCUUGUAUUUUGGUCACGAAAAAUAUUAUUUGAUUGGUGAGGCAACACGUCAUCGUCUCUUGGUUUUUGUUUGUGUCUUUGAAUAGACACGAUCAAGUAUCAACCUUAGAAAUAAAUUAAAGUAAUGUGAGUUCAAAACAUAGAAUACUUCUGCAAGACAAUCCAUAGAUGUAUGGCCAUGGUGAUCAUAUACACGAAAAGACCGUUAUAUUUUUAGUGAUUUGAUUCUUUUGUGGUCUCGUGUACUAUAUAAUUGUUAACAUUUUCUGUAAUAUGUGUUUUUUCUCAGAAAAUAAAUUUAUUAAGUUUUGAAAGUGUUUCUUCUUAUAUCAUUUAUUUUUUGAAAAAAAUUAUAAUCUUUUUUUUUUGUCUCAUGUUAUAUUUUUAGGUCGGUAGAUAUUUAGUUUUUUCUUUUCUUUUUUUUUUGUCAAUGGUAGAUAUUUAGUUUGUUACGUUAACUUUCGUUUUUAUUUUUUAUGUUUAAAACGUUCACGUUAAAGAAUUGUAAUUUAUGAAUUAUGAAAAGAUUGUGGAUUUCGGCUCAAUAUAGAAUUUUUUUUUUUUUUUUUUUUUUUUUUGUCGUCAGGCAUUCAUCGAUCACGGUUAUAAAAGGAAUGCAACACGAGGACUUCCCGGGAGGUCACCCAUCCUAGUACUACUCUCGCCCAAGCACGCUUAACUGCGGAGUUCUGAUGGGAUCCGGUGCAUUAGUGCUGGGAUCCGGUAUAUAGAAUUUCAACUUGAAACUAAAGUAUUUUAUUCUGUUUUUAUCUAAGUGCCACUCGAACCAUCUACUAUUUCAUAAUUUUUAAAAAACUUUUUAUUGAUUUAUUGCUAUUAAUUGAAUUGUUGCAACAUAUAGUAUAUGUUACUAACCAUUGUAAUUUUUGGUUUUCUGAUGAAUUACAUUUGUUAAAAUUGCUAAAAAGUUUAGUAUAUUUGAUAAACCGGUGCAAUUUUGAUAUAUUUUAUGAACUGUUACACUUUUUUGUCUUUAUAAUAAAUAUCUAAGGAAAAUAUUUUCCAUCAUCACAUCUCUCGAUAAUAACUUUUCUUAAUUUUAUUUUAUAAUUUUAAUCACAUUAAUAUAACUAAAUAAAUUGUUGCUACCGUUUAAUUGAACCAUUGUUUUUGAAAGAUUUUUGUGUAAAAAAAACCUUGUAAGUAAUUUUUUUUUGCAAGAAACCCCUCAAUAUCAAAUAAAUACAUGUCAAUACUACGAUUUCAAAAAUCAUCCUCAAUAUAACUCUUCUCUUAAUGAUGUGGCAAUUUAAAAAUCUGUUAGUUUGAAGGAAAAAAUGUCAAAGUUUGAGAUUUAUUUUUUAAUAAAAAGUAAAGUAAAAAAGUAAUAUUUGUUUGUGUUUUGAUUACCUUAUUUCUUCCGUUGUUACAGUGAUCAUCAACAUCUUACAAGUUUGAUGGUUACUAUUAAUUUCAUGGUUUAAUGAUGAAAUUGAUAUUUGAUUUUUGGAUUUUGUAAGGAUUUGAUUAAAUUUGCAUUUUGAUUGAUUUUUAACCAGUUUUGGAAAAAAUUGCUAGUCUAUAAACAAUGUGGUAUCGUUCAUAUGGUGGAUAAUUGGAUUUUAGGAGAAGCUCGUAAUCAUUACUAGUAACAGAUUUUAAUUUCAACUUAGUAUUUGGUUUAUUUUAUUAAAUAUUGUAACUUAAAGUUUAUUUGUUGAAGUUUUGCAACUUUUUGUAUAUUUGAUGAAAUGUUGCAACUUUUACUUUAUUUGACAAAUUAAUAGUUGUAAAUUUUGGUAUGUAUGAUAUAUAAAAAAAAAUUUAAGCUAUAUUUUCCCUUUCUUAACAAAAUUCCGAACACUAAUCAAAGGUAAACAAAUUAAAAAUCACUAAAAAAGAGUUAGAGAGCACAAAAAAACAUCAUCAAAACACGAUUAUUUCAAAUUAUAGUAUCAUAAGUGUGUCUGUAAAUAUAGUGAGGUAUAGUGAAAGGUUCUUAGAAUCAAUAAUUUAAUAAAGAAAUAUGAAAUUUCUUAAAAACACAAUUUUAAAACUUCGAUAAAACCUUUUUGGACUAUCACAUCUUUUGGUGAGAAGCUUUUAUUCUGUUUUGUUUCACUUACAAAUGUUUUUACCAUCAUUAAAAAUCUUAAAAUAUCGUAAUUCUAUUCAUAAAUUAUUUCUAGAAUAUUUUACGAAGGUUUAACAAUCUUUAAAAAUUUACAGGAAAACAUAAUGAAGUUACAUAAUUUAAAAUAUUUAAAUUUACUAUCUCGAUAAUUUAAUAUAUAUAAAUGUAAUAGAAAAAAUUUGUGAUAAAAAUAUUUCUUUUUAAAUGUGAUAAAAACAGAAAAAAAAACAAAUAAAAUGCUUUUAAAAAUGUUCUUUUUCUAUCAAACACAUAUUAUCUAAGAAUUAAUGGGAAAGUGGAUUAAACAUGUAGUAACUAGGAAUCCACGAAUGAGACCGGUUAACACGUCUUGACGCACAAAAAGAAUCUCAACAUACUUCACACAAAACAAAACAAAAAAACAAAAAAAAGUGCAGGUAACGUUGAUUAUGACUUUAAAAGAUUAGCUUGCCAACUUGGCUGAGAUGAGAGCCUGAGAUCAUUCUGUUUCUUGAAAGAGCUUUCCGUUGAUUCUUUACAAUUUAGUUAACUAAUUUUAUAGAAUGUGGAAACUCUGAAAUAUUAUGAAAAAGAAUCUCUAGUUGUACUAUAAACCAAAAUUGGCUCUUCUUUACUGCCUCAAAUCAGAAAGCCACUAUACAUAGAUUAGAAAUUAGAUCACAGUCUUAGUGUAUAUCCAUAUUAUGUUUAGUAACAUAGAAAAAAAUGAAAAUACAUCACUAAAAUGUAAACUGUUACUGAAUUGUGUGAUGUACGUAAUCCAAGUGCAAAGGAAAAGCAAAUGAUACAAUCCAAAUUAAUAACACAACAUAUAUACACAGCAAGAAGCAACAUAAAGCCAAAAGAAACAUACAUAUACGUAUACAUAGAUCUGAUUUUAGAUAGUGUCGAAUCCCAAUCCACAGCAAAUAACGUUUAGAUCUAAAGCCCAUAGAGAAGGAAAAAAAACAAAGUUAGUGACACUUGUAGAAGUACACAUUGAAAUUGAGAGGCAUAUUAGAAUCUUUUUAUGUGAUACUUAUUGUGUUUGUUGUGUAUCAUGAUGCAAAUAGAUCAUCUAUGUAUAUUAAGGGUGCAUACCUCAUGCUAACAUAGAGCAACCAAGUAAGAAACUCAAGCCAAAGAGAAUAAGAGAAAUGAAUAUUCCCAAUCUAGAGUAAAGAAUACGUUAGACCUAAAGCCACAAAAAUGAGACAAAGGAAAUAACGAAACAAUGUGAGAUGCACAUAUUCUAUUAUGAAUUACAAUUUGUGUUUGUUGGGUAUCAGUAUCAUGAUGCAAAUGUAUCAUCCCUCAUAGUAGCCAAGGUUAAACAUGAAAAACAAAAAAAAGCUGAUGGCAAAAAAAACCAAGCAGAAGAGAUUAAAAGAACUGAUUACCAGAUUGAUUGAAGACAAGAAACGAUUUUUGGUAUCUUCGUCCUCCCAUUCAAGGCCAUUUCCUUGUUCUCGAGGAUCCAUAUAUAUUACAAAUUCCUCAACUUGAGGGACACUUGUAGCAUUUAAAGGAAGCUUUCUCAGCUUUGGACAGUUUUGUGCAGUUAAUUCCCUCAAAAAUGGAAAGGGAAGAGGACUCCAGUAGAUACUCUCCAGCUUUGGCAAUCUGUUCAACCGUAAGCUUUCUAGUUUCAGAAAUGGGAUCAUACCAGUGAGAUUGGUUGCUUUCUCUUUGUUUAUAAUUUCUUCCAGUUCUUCUGAACGUACAAUGCGUAGCUCGACAAGAUUUGGAGCAAACAAUAGCCAAGUCAGAUCCUUAAUGCCAUUGCAAUAAAAUAUAUUCACUAGAGAGAGGUUGCUGAAGCAUGGACUUGUCGGAUUAUAUAGAUCAGACGAGUUUUUUCUUCUUUCUCUGAAAUUUUUAUAUGAAUUCAUCUCCGAGACAUGAGUGUAAAGCAUUCUGAGCUCACAAAGAUUCUCCAUAUUCACCAACAAUGAUAUAUUCAACGGCUUUUGUUGAAAUUUAUGCAUUUGCACACUAUUGAUGCAGUUUGCUAACCUUUGAACGCCGGAUAUUUGCUCCAAACCCAAAUCCGUAGAUAAAGAGAUGGUUAGAACUUGAAGGUGCUCCAAGAGCUGCAACUUCUUCACUAAGCUAACCUCUGCACGAGCUCUAGUUACGUCAUUAUAAUAUUCUUCGCUUACGUAUCCAUGAACAACAUUAGAAUCUUGUAGUUUCAAAACUCUUAGACUCGGCAACUUUGAUAUCCCAUUGAUACUACAAAGUCUCUUUGUAUAAGCCAAAUUCAGGUGAAUUAGCUUUUUCAACUCUUGAAAACCAACAGGUAGAUGCGUAAUACUUGUACCCGACAAGUCAAGAAACCGCAAGGAUGUUAGUUCUGAUAUAUACUCUGGAAGUUCAAUGAUGUGGGAAUUACAUGAUAGAUCCAAAACAGCUAGCUCUUUCAUAGACCGGAUAAAUUCACCUGAGAAAUUCUUCAAGUUAUUAUUCUGGAGGAACAGAGUGAUAAGACGAGAACAGUUGAAUUUGCAUGUUAUCUCUGUAAUAUUAUUAGUCAUUAAUGACAUUCUUCUCACAGCUCCCCAGUCCUUGACUUUUGGUACUUCAUGUAAUUCCAUUCUUGCUUGUACAACAAAAUUUUCUUUCUCUUUCCCAAAAUUGGAUGCAAUCCACAAAGCCAUUUCGCGAACCACGUCAUGCAUCAUAACAAAUGUUGUACCAACCGUUGUCAAUAAAUUUGCACGGAUAAGGGUACCGAGUACCUCAUAACCUUUAUUCCUCGCUCUUUUUACAACAUUGUAGUCUCCAAUGAAUCCUUCGCAUAUCCAGUAGUCUAUCAACUUUUCUUUAUCUAUCUAAUUAUCUUCUGGAAACAGAGCACAAUAUAGAAAACACGACUUGAUAUGUUCAUCCACCAAGUUAUCGUAGCUGUACUUGAGAAUCGAAAGAAUUUUAUUUUCCAUGUCAGAAAACUCUGCAGCGGAUGUAGUCAAAACAUCGAUUGCAUGCUCCCAUUCUUGUACCAUAGUUUUAGAUGCCAUCGCCUCACCAAUGACACUGAGCGCCAGUGGCAAACCUCGACAUUUUUCAGCAACCUUUUUUGCUAGCUCGAUAAUGGAGGGAUCUCUUCUUAAUGAAUUGUAUCCGACCUUGUUUUUAAACAAUUCCCAUGCGUCAUCUGGUUCCAAGCAAUUGACUUGAAUCGGUUCAUGAUCCCCCAUUCGCCCACAUACUUCCAAAGAACGGGUGGUGAAUGCUACUUUACUUCCAUUUUCUCUUGUCGGAUAUGGAACUCCGAUAGCCUCUAAAUCCACUUUCUCCCAUAUAUCAUCUAGCAUCAAUACAAAUCUUUUCCCCUUUAAAAAACUGUAUAUGUCACCAGCCUUGUCAGUUUCGUUUUUAUUGAUCCACUCGUCGCCACAAAGGUGUAGCUUUUGUGCAAUAUCUUCUUGAAUCUUUGAAGUCUUUGCGCCUUGGGACACCACAAUCCAGAUCACAACGUCAAAGCCACCAGCCAUUUCAGAAAACUUAUUGUGGAUUUUUUUGAAGAGUGUAGUUUUGCCAACACCUCCCAUACCAUGCAGACCCAUAAUUCCGACUCCAUCUUCCAUAAGGCGAUUCCAUGCCAUUUGGAGCAAUUUAUCCUGACCAAUCGUAGAUUGAGUAGGCCUCUCCUCUACUUUAGAUGUCGUAGCUUCCUCAGCAACCACUUCGAAGUUACCUUCUGAUUUGAGAUUCUUAACCUCUUCCAACAACAAGAAUACGCUUUUCCCAUAAUUAUAGCUUGAACAUACAUAUUUUGAACAUAAACCACAGAGACACAACUUCUGAAGCUCAACGGGACAAGUACUAAGUAGACUUUUGAUUUGUAAAUCAAUGCUAUCGACACGGGUAAGCCAUACCUGGACAGCUUUAAGCCUUUGUUGAUGUCGUGUCUCCUCUCUCGCUACCUUGUUCUGCACCUCAUCUUUUAUUGCUCUGAGAUCUUCCAUUUCCCUCUCCAAAUCCCUGAGAUUCUUCUUGAGGUUUCGAAUAUAACCUUUACCACGUAAGAAUCUAAUGAAACGAUCCACCGUUUGAUCACUAGAAACUUCGAUACACACAAAAUUCCCCAUGUUGAAUGAAAGAGGUAAUGUUUUCACCAAGUAACAACGAAAAUGUAAACCAUCUAUCAAAGAAAGAAAAAUACAACGAAGCUAAAGCUGAAGAAGUGUUUUAGGAUUAUUAUAAUCAUAUUUUAUAUGCAACUAUCUUCCAGAAAACACAAAGGUCAAUGAUUUUAUCUCUCCCUGUUUGGAUUAUUGUAAUCACUUUUAAAAAAGCAAUGGUCAACGAUACAGAUAUCGAUGACUAAUCGCCCAGUUUAGAUUGUUAUAAUCACUUAACACGCAACCAUGUUGUAAAGAAAACAAAGGUCAAUGAAAGAAAAAAAAUAAAAAAAUAAACACAGUGAUGAAACUAAACACAUAGAAUACAAACUACAGUGAUGAAAUAGGCUUAAAAUCUAAGGGCACUCAAACCUGUGAAAUAUGCCACAUCGGAUAAAAGAGUAUACCACAUCGGAUCAUCAACAGAGGGAAGACUGGAAGAGAAAACAAGACUGAGUUUACCAUAACACUCAACAAGUUUAGAGUUAGAUCACAGCCUUAGUACUGUCAGAAUGAGGUUUAAGGGAUUCACAUCAGAUGUUCAUAAUUUAGCAAAAUCAUUACUUUUUAUCAAUAUCUGCAUGAUAUAGCAAAACCACAACUUUUCAUCUAGAUGUAGUCUGAAGGAUCAGAAUGUAAAUCAGAAGCAAUAAUACAAUUCAAAUGGACAACACCCUCCCUCUACAAAAAGAAAAUGAAAGCAACAAAAGAAGAAGCGUGGUUUCUGAUUUUAGCCAGUGACGAAUCCAGACUCACAGUAAAAAGAUGUUUAGACCUAACGCCGCCACUAAAUAAGAACAAAAGAAACAAAGUCAGUUAUCCACUUCUGGAAUGCAUUAAAAUCGAGAGGCAGAGACUAUUCGUAUUGCUGAACAAGAGUGAAAGCAAAACAUGAAUCACUUGCUUGUUUUAUGUUUUAAACUAAAUGACAUCUUAGUGAUUCAAAUUGUGUUAUGCAAAAUGGCUCAUAUCAGUGAUCAGUCUAAUAAUGGUGUAUAUCUCAUGCAAACAUAGAGCAUAAGAAACUCAGUGAACACAAGCGGAAGCGAUUAAGAGAAAUGAUUACCUGACUGAAUGAAGGCAAGAAACGAUUUUUGGUAUCUUCAUCCUCCCAUUCAAGGUAAUCUUGUUGUUUCGGAGGAAGCAUUGCUAUUGAAAACUCGUCACUGCGUGGGACACUUGUAGCAUUUAAGGGAAGCUUUCGAAGCUUUGAACAACCUAUUGCACUUAUCCGCCUCAAAGAUGGAAAGGGGAGAGGACUCCAGUAGAUAUUCUCCAGCUUAGGUAAAUUUGUCAAUGAUAACACUUGUAGGUUCUGAAAUGGUGUAAUAGUAAUACCUGUGAAGUUGAUUGCUUUCUCUUUGUUUAUAAUUUCAUCCACUUCUCCAGCAAAUGUAACGUCUAGGUAGACAAGAUUUGGAGCAAACAAUAACCAAGUCAGAUCUUUCAUGCUAUGGCAAUUAAUUAUACGCACAAUGGAGAGGUUGGUGAAGCAUGGACAUGUCGUGUUCUGUAAAUCAGAUGAGUCCCUCUCCAUUUCUCUGCACUUCAUAGAUGUAUUAAUCUCCGCGACAUGACAACUUACCACCCAGAGCUCAUUAAGAUUCUUCAUACUCACCAGCAAUGAUAUGUCGAAUGGCUUUUUUCGAAAAUCACUAAUAUCCAGACUAGUUAUGCAGUUCGCCAACCUUUGAUCGCCUAAUAUUUGUUCCAAACCCAACUCUGUAGAUAUCGUUAUGGUGAGUGUUUGUAGAUGCUCUAAGCACUGCAGCUCCUUCAAUAAGCUAACAUCUCCAUGAACUUUAGAAUUCAGUAGUUUCAAAAUCUUUAAACUCCUCAAAUUUGAUAUCCCAACCAUACUACCAAGUCUCUUUGUAGAAGUCAAAUUCAGGUGAGUUAGCCUUUUCAACUCUUGGAAGCCAACAGGCAGUUGCACUAUACUAGUAUGUGACAAGUCCAAAAACUGCAACGAGACCAGCCCCGAUAUCUGUUCCGGAAAUUUCUUAAAACUGGAAUUACCACAUAGAUCCAAAACCACAAGCUUUUGCAUAGACAGGAGGAAUUCUCCUGAGAGAUUCUUCAAAUUAUUAUACUGGAGGAACAAAGUGGUAAGCUCAGGACAGUUGAAACUGCAUGUUAUCUCUUCAAUGCUAUUAUUCAUUAAUGACAUCUUUCUCACAACUCCCCAAUCCUUUACUUUAGGUAUUUUUAUUAAUCCGACGUUUGCUUGCACGAUAAAAGUCUCUUUCUGUUUCCCAAAACAUGAGGUAAUCCACAGAGCCAUUUCGCGAACCACAUCAUGCAUCACAACAUCAUGUGUACCAACUUCCGUUAGUAAAUUUGAACGGAUAAGGGUCCCGAGUAUCUCAUAACCCUUAUUCAUCGAUCUUUUUAUAACCUGGCAUUCCCCGAUGUAUCCCUCACAUAUCCAAUAGUCUAUCAACUCUUCUUUAUCUAUUGUUUUAUCUUCUGGAAAUAAAGCACAAUACAGGAAACACGACUUGAUAUGUUUAUCCACCAAGCUAUCAUAGCUGUACUUCAGAACUGGAAGAAUUUUAUCUUCCAUGUCAGAAAACUCAGCAGCAGAACUAACCAAAACAUCGACUGCAUUCUCCCAUUCUUGUACCGUAGUUUUAGACGCCAUUGUCUCACCAAUGACAUUGAGCGCAAGUGGUAGACCGCGACAUUUUUCAGCGACCUUUCUGGCAAGUGCCACAAUGAGGGGAUCUCUUCUUAAUGUAUCGUCCCCGACCUUGUUUUUAAACAGUUCCCAUGCUUCAUCUCGUUCCAAACACUUGACUUGCAUUGGUUCAUGAUCCCCCAUCCGCCCACAUACUUCUUGAGAACGGGUGGUGAAUGCUACUUUGCAUCCAUUUUCUCUUGUAGGAUACGGAACUCCAAUGGCUUCUAAAUCCACUUUCUCCCAUAUGUCAUCUAGCAUCAAAACAAAUCUCUUCUUCUUUAGAACUCUGUGCAUCUCUGCGGCCUUAUCACCUUCAUUUUUGUUCAUCCACACCUCGUCACAAAGGUGUAGCUUUUGUGCAAUAUCAUCUUGAAGCUUAGAAGUCUUUACGCCUUGAGAUACCACAACCCAGAUCACAACAUCAAACUUACCAGCCAUUUCAGCAAACUUAUUAUGAAUUUUUUUGAAGAGUGUUGUUUUCCCAACACCGCCCAUACCGUGCAGACCCAUGAUUCCGACUCCAUCUUCAACAAGGUGGUUCCAUGCCUUUUUGAGUAUUAAUUCCUGACCAACCGUAGGCUGUGUAGGCCUCUCCUCCACUUCAGAUCUCGGUGCUGGCUCAGCAACGACAUCAAAAUUACUCUCUGAUAUAAGUUGUUUAACCUCUUCCAACAACAAGAAUACCCUUUUCCCAUAACUGUAGCUUGAACAUACGGUUUUGGAAUAUAAACCACAGAGACACAACUUCUGAAGCUGAACAGAACUUGUACUAAGCAAAUUUUUGAUUUGUGAAUCAAUGUUAUCGACACGGGUAAGCCAUACCUGGACAGAUUUAAGCCUUUGUUGAUGCAGCCUCUCUUCUCUGGCUACUUUGUUCUGCACCUCAUCUUCAAUUGCUCUGAGAUCUUCCAUUUCCCUCUGCAGAGCUCUGAGAUUCUUCUUGAGGGUUCGGAUAUAACCUUUACCACAUAAGCAUCUAAAGAUACGAUUCAGCGUUUGACCAUCAACAGUAACUUGAAUAGAAAAACAACUCCCCAUGGUAAUGAAAGAGAGAAAAGAAUACAAAGAAACAAUGAAGCUAGAGCUGAAGCUGAACAAAUGACGAGGGAAGAAAGGAUUAGUUAGAUUUCAGUCCACUUUACGUUGAAAUUUCCACAUCCACUGUUUCAUAGUUAAGAUAAAACUAAAGAAUACAAAGCUCAAUGAUUCAUCAUCACUUCAUCAUCACCCACUUUGGAUUAUUAUAAUCACUUUACAUGCUGGUCAAUGUUUAAUCACUAUAAUCAUUUGCUUUUAGUAAUUUCAAAUUUCCACCGGAAAUUAAUAUAAUAUCUUAAGAAGUUGAACAAAUAACUUUUAAAACUGUAUGUAAAAGGAUCAUAUCAGUCUAAUAAUACCUAGAGUUAACAAGAAACUCAGUGAGAAGAGAAAAUAAAUAAUGAUUACCUGAUGACAGAACAAAGGCAAGAUACGAAUUUUGGUAUCUUGGUCCUCCCAUUCAGUGUCAGUUUCCUGUCCUCAACAAUCCAUGGUUACCGAAAAACGCGCCAAUUCAAAGGUACACCUGCAGCAUUUAAGGGAAGCUUUCUUAGUUUGGAAUGAAGCAAGAAGAACAUGGAAUUAGAACAAAAGUCAAAGUGUGGCAAAGACACUAUAAGCGAAUCCAUCUUAUCUUAUUGAGUGUGAAAGAGAGCCAUAUCUUUGGUUAUUCUUCUUCUUCUCCAUAGUUGUAACUUGUAAGUUGAGAACCACACAAGUUAUCUCUCUUCAAUGCUGUUACCCAAUAAAGACAACCUAUGAGAUGGAUCUGGAUUCUGAAAGAGUAAGAAACAGGACAAAGAGUGGUUGAUGAUGAGUAAGGAACUGGAAGACAGACACUUUAAACACAGUAAUAACAUACAAUUCUAAUAUAGUAAUAUCCAAUUAUUUGUAUCAUAAUGCAAAUGAAUCAUAUCGCUCUAAUAACAGUCUAUACAUGAAAGAAGCUCAGCAAGAAAAAGAAAAAGAAAACAGAAAAUUCUAGUUACUACACUUAGAUUUACUCACUUCGGAGAGAUUGGUACUGCAUAGAUAGACUUGUUGGAUUGCAUAAACUAUUCUUGAGUCCAUCUCGCUUUCUCUGCACUUCAUGCUGGCGUUCUUAAAAUGCAGAUUUCUGGGCUAAAUCUUAUCUUUAAACAUACUCAGUAAAGGGCAGAGACAAUUUUAGCAGACAUUUCAUAAAAGCUAAAAAGUUGAUGAAAAGUCACAACAUAGAGUGGUAUGAAUGUCAAAACAGAACACACUAGUGAAGAAAAAUGUAAUAUAUCUAAAUCAGAGGAAGAAGAUCUUACAAACUUUGGAGGGGCUGCUGAUAAUUUUAAAUCUUGUACAUUGCUAGAAUAUUCAAAACCACUUUCCAAAUUACAAAAAAAAAAAAGAACUAUAUCAAGCAGUCAGUUAAGUGAUAACAAAGAUCACUGCUUCAUUUUUGCAACAACAUAUAAAUCACGCAGAUGAAAUGUAUGACAAUGAUCUAUAUAACCAUUUUGCAUAUCUUUCUGAAGAAGACUUGAUUAACCAACUUGGAUUUAGAUGACCUUCUUCGUAUUUGAGACAAAUCUUAGGUUUGAGUUCUUCAAUUCAUGGAGUUAUGGUGAGUUUUAGGGAUUUUGAUCAGUUCCCUAGUUUUUAUUAUCUAUAAACCACUUAAUUUGAAGAUAUAUGUAACAUAUGAAAUUUAUUAACUUUUUAAAGUCUUACGCGGUUGAUCUAUCUCGUUUAGCGUCUUUAGUUUUUUUUUCAACAGUACUUAACUAUUGUAAAACUUUGUGAAGAUGGUUAGUGCUAAGAUAAUGUAUAGAGAAUUUCUGGAAUUUUUUUAUAUUUUAAAAUAAAAAAAACAUUCUAGAAAAGUUAUAAUCAUAAAUCAAAAGAAAUAAAAGAUGUAGAUAUUUUACCUUGAAUUGAUUGACGAGAAGAAAUGUGACAAAAUAUAUUUUGUUACAUUUCUUCUCAUGAAUCAAUCCAAGGUAAACUAUCAACAUCUUUUUUAGUUCUUUUGGUUAUACGAGUUAUUUUAGAAACAUACUUUUCUAGAACGGUUUCGUGAUUUAUAAUAAAAAAAGCAAAGACUUUAUACUUUUUUUUGAAUUGAUUAUUAUCACAAGUGUUACUAUAAUUCAAUGUUAAAAAAAGCAAAAGACGCUAAACGGGACCAGACUUACCGCAUAAUACUUUAAAUAUUUAAUGAUUAUCAUAUGUUAGAUAUAUCUUUAAUUUAGGUGGGGUUUAGGUAAUAAAAAUCAAUAUUAGAUAUAUAUUAAUUAUUAAUAAUGUAAAAAAAUAAUAUACUAAAAAAAUCCAUAUUCGUAACAAAUAAAUUUGAAUAUAAAUUUUAUAAAAUUAAAAACUAAACAUUAAUAUAGCACUAAUGAGAACUAGACUAAAACAUCUAUACGAAAAAUCUAGAAUGUGAAAUUUGAAGAGGGAGACAAAUCUUAAAAUAUAUAGUUUGGUCUUCUCUUUUUUCACAUAAGAGCUUAUUAAAAAAAUUAGUCUAUAUGUAAAUUUGAUGUACAUUUUACAGAACUUAUUUCAACUUUGUUCUAGGUUAAUUUACUCCUAUAUAUAGAUGAUCAUGUUGUUGGGAGAAUAUUAGAGCAGAUGUAGGAGGUAAAAUGUAUAUAUUUUUUUAUAAGUUAGAGAGGAAGAAGAUCUUACAGACUUUGGAGGGAAUCAGUCUUGUAGACUGCAGCUAUUGACAAGAUUGAUCGUGAUAGCCUUCACACUCACAAAAACUUAUUAUGUAUGGACUGGCAGCUAUUGUUUGUUGCCCAAAUAAAAAUAAAACAAGCCACCACUAGACAUAUAUUAGAAUUAGAUCACAGUUUUAGUAUCUUCAUAGGUUUACCCAUGUGGCCAAAGGGAUAAAGUUAGCAAUUCUACGUCUGAGGAGAAUCGAUCUCUGGCCUAGACCAACAUGGCGACUCUUCCACCAGACUAGAACCACUAGCCCACCACCUCUGGUUAACAGAGUUCAGGCUAAGUUUAAGGGGAUUGAUUAAUAAUAUUAGAGAACUUAAGUACAUGAUCUUCAUGAAUUAGCAAAAUCAAAAGUUUUCAUCUUGAUCAUGUUAUAACCAUCACACAAAUAUGUACGCUGCAAGAUGAAAGAGAAAGCAAACGAUACAACCCAAAAUCAGAAUCCAAUAUAAGUAAUACAAUAAGAAAAUGAAAAACUAUAGAAUCCAAGAGAACAACACGUACAGUCCAGAAAGAUGAGUAUGCAAAGAAAAAGCAAUGAUACAAUCCAAAAUAAACAGCACAACACAGUACUACAAGAAGAAAGAAAGCAGUGUUUCUGAUUUUAGUAUGGCAUACCUUCAUACUACCAAGAGCUAAUAUUGUGACAUGCAUCUCUUUCUGAAUAUAACUAAAUACUCUGAUUGAGAAAGCCACUUGGAUUUAGACAUUGUCUCUUAACAAAAAUAAACACAAAGACGCUGCAAGAUGAAAGAGUAAAACAAACGAUGCACUCCACUAAGAAAGUAGAAGAAGAAGAAGCGUGGAUUCUGGUUUUAGACAGACUAUGAGGCUAUGGCCACAGACCCUGCAAUAUCCUGUGGAGAAAAAUGAAAGAAUGUUAGUAACACUUUUUGUGAAAAGCAUUGAAAUUGAGAGGCACAACAGGUUCUCUAUUAUGCGAUCAAUUUUUCCAGAAAAUCAAUUUUUUUUUUUUUUUAAGAGUAUCAUAUAUAUAUACUAGAAGUAGACCCGCGAUGCGCGAGAUAAAUUUGAUAUUAAAUUUAUAAUAAUUUUAAUAUAUUUUUUGGAAAUCAAUUGGAUUGAAGCAAUUAAGUAAUUCUCUUCAUUUUUAUGCACUAUCUCAUAGAAUAUUUAUUUGAUGUUUCCAAAUUUUAAAAUAAAACUAAGUGUAUAUGUUUUAUGAUUAUUUUGUAUUAUGCAGAUUGCUAUCUACUGCAUAAAUUAAUUAAAAUACAUUAUAAAUGAUAUUUCGUUUUACAAAAAAAAAAAUCAAAAAGUUAAAUAAUUUUUUAAUUUGUAUUCAAAAAAUUCCAUCAUCAAUUAAAAUAAGCAUUAGAGUAAUUUUUUUAUUCAUCUACAUUAGGAUACUAAGAGUAAGAUUUAUAGACUUAGAGCAUUACAAACAACUCUUUGAACUUGUAAAUAUACUUUAGGUUUCUCCCUAUGUCAUAUUCUUUUUUUUUUUGUUUUCAAAAAAAUCAUUGCUUAUGAAAUGUUGAUUACUUUUUUCUUCGGUCUCUCAAAAAAUCAUAUCUUCUAAUAUUUCAUAUAGGAUAAUAUUUAUAUAAUGACACAUUAAUACUUCAAUUUUUUAUUUGUCAACAACCUUAUAUUAAUCCAGAGCAUCAAAAUAGCCUAAUAUUAAUUACAUAUUCAAUAAAAACCUAAACCAUAUGUAUUCUUAAAAAUAGGUUAUGUUAAUUAAAAAGAAAAGUCAUAUACAAUUUAUCAUAGCCGCUUUGCUCUCUACCACGAUUCCCGAGAAAAAAAAAAUAUUUUAAUUUAAAUGAAAAUUAAAUAAUGUAACAAUAACAUCAUGAGAAUUUAUAUAUAAAUAAAUUAUAGGACAAUAAGGAAAAUAAUAAGAAAUAAAAUUUUAGAGAAGAAAUGGAAAAUAUUAAAAUUUGGAAGAAGAUAUUAGGUUAGUACCAGGUAAGUUUUCUAAUUUAUCUACCAAAGUGUUGAUUUCUUUGUAUGUUUGGAUACAAAAAUAGUGGUCAAUGUAAAGUUCAUCUAUUGUACUAUGAUCGUAUAAGAAGACUUUAAAGUUAUGGUUAGUUAGCCGGUAGGAGUUAAAAUAUUUUGUUUUAAGAAAAAUCUGAAGGACCAAAUUUAACCACGUUUUUUCGUUUUCAAAAAAUACUUAGCCCUCAUUAACAUUUUAACGAUAUUUAUAUAAUAAUUUAUUAGAUCACAAAAAUUAAUUAUAAUGAUACAUAAUAUAAAAAUAAAUUACAAAGAAUAAUUUUAAUACAAAAGAGGUAAGAAAAUAUUAUUUGGAAAAUGUGUUACGAUAAAAUAUUUAAUUAGAAAUUUCUUAAUUAGAAAAGAAAAAUGCGAUGUUUGGCAUUUGGAAAUCGAGAAAUAAAUUUAUUUUCGAAGGUGUUUGGCUCUCUCAGUCCAAGGUUCUACAUAAAUCAAAAUGCGAUGUUCAGGCCUGGAUGAAUCAUACUUCUAUGGAUCACAAUUCUAUCACUUCGGAGACUAGAUCUUCAACUCAAAGAGUAUUAGGUUGGGGAGCUUCUCAGCUAGGAACGUCUAUUUCAACAUUAGAAGCAGAAACAAAGUCAUGUCUACCUGCAUUACAACAAGUUUGGAUAAGGGGUAUUAUGAAUAUUUGCUUUGAAGGAGAUUGCAAGUUACUGAUUGAUAUAUUACAAAAACAAUAUUUUGAUAUUACAAUUGAAGCUGUUCAUCGGGACAUUCUCUCUUGGGUUAAUAAGUUUUCCAAUGUUUCAUUUGCUUUUUGUAAUAGGAAUUGUAACAAAGUUGCUCAUGUAUUAGCUUCUUCUGGAUGUAUUUCGAUUCCCUUUUAUUCUUAUUUUUUAAAUCCGCCUGUAUGGCUAUCAGACCAAUUGUAUUACGAUUUUUUCAAUUAUCAAAUAUAAUCAUAUUUUGAUGAAAAAAAGAAAGAAAAGAAAAAUGCAUAUAUAUGUAAGAAACUAUGCGAACAUCAAAAAUAUAUAACGAAAUGUAUCUUUUUAACUUAAUUCUAGUGAAUUCUUUGCAUUUAAAUAUAUGUGAAAUGGAUUUUUAAAUCAAAAUUUUUAUUUUUAUAGCCUUCAAAAUCUUUUAUUUUACACAUGUGUUGUUUCAUACUUUCUUAAUUUAUAAGUAUGAUUAAAUUUAAAAAUAUGUUAGAUUUGUAUCAUACUUUCUAAAAAUAUUUAUAUCAAAUUAUUGAAUGAUCAUUUCAUUGAUUUUUAUGCCAUAUAACAACAUAAAAAAUAGAAAAAUAUUAAAGAUACAUGAAUAUAAUGGAAUAGGGUGAGGGUAUGAUUACUUAUAUGAUGAUAAUCUAAAAUAUAAAAUAGAGAUGAAUUUUCAAAAAACAAAAAUUAUAAUAACAUAAGAUGUAUAUCAUAUAGUCUCUAAUUUGUUUUUACAAUUGAGCUUUUAUAAAAGAAUAUUUUACUUGUUUUCUAAAACUCAUACAAAAAAAAAAGAAAAAAAAACACGAAGCUCUUUUUUUAUAUAUAAUAAUUGAGAUAGAGAAUUAGAGGAUGAGAGAAUGAGGGAAUGAUAACUGAAAAAAUGAGUAUAUAUAGGAAGAGAAGUUAUGGGAGUUACAAUUUCAUACAAAAAUUUAUGGGAAUCAAUUAUAAUUUAUUGUGUGCUGAAAAAUUCAAUGUAAAAUAUAGUUAAUGCAAAGUUAUAUUAUUUCAGUUUUUAUAUUAAAGUGUGAGUUUAAUGUAUAUGACUAAAUGUGUUUUAUGGUUUAACUGUUUUUCAGUUUUAUAUUAAAUUGUGAAUUAAAUAUAUAUAAUAUAUAUAUAUAUAUAUGAUAAUACAUAAUUUUUUUUUAAAAGUUAGAUGCCAAGUGAACCAAUAAGAAUAGAGUGAAACUUUAUUUAUAUAAAUAUAUAUAUAUAUGAUUUGUGAAUAAUAUGAUAAUUAUUCUUUGAUUAAAUUUAUCAUAUAUCUUUGAUUAAAUUUCGUGAUAUUAUAUUCUAUUAAACUGUGUUUCCUCUCUCAACUGUUUAAUAAUAGUAAAUUUAAACUAAUUUUGUUUUCUAAAUUAAAUAAUAGUAAAUUAAAUAAUAGAAUAUUUUUUGGUUAAAUAGUUACUUUAUCUAAAUAUUUUAGAUGUACUAAUUUAUUAUACUUAAAAACAAUCAAACUUUCUCUAAUUUCAUUAUUUACCAUAGAUUUCACCAUGCUAAAGUAAAAAAAAAACAAUUCUCUUUAAUUAUUUUCCAAAAAUUAUAAAAAAAAAAUAUGUUAUAAAUAAUUUUUUACCCGGUAUAUAAUAACUUAAGGAAAACAUACUUUAAACGGAGGAGGAAAUUUUCAUGUGAUUUUUGAACUUUAAAUCUUAAGGAAAAAACCCAUACCAAUUUUCUUUGAAUACAAAGAAAAAAAAAUUGACUACUCCAUUUUAUGUAUAGUUUAUAUGAUGUUUAAUUUAAAUAGAAACUAAAAUUAGGGAAAAUAUUUUUUGCAACAAUGACACUUUUUAAAAAAGAAAAUAAUACAUAUCUUAUAACUUACAACACAAUAUUACAAAUAAAAUAACUUUUAAAUGUUAAAUUAGAAAUUAAUAAAAAUGACACAUGUCAAGAAUAUAGAGCGCCAAAUGUUGCUUUGUGAGGCAAAGUUAGAAGAAACCUUGUCUUAUUAUAUAAGACUAGGUUCGGAUCCGCGCUACAGCGCGGGGGAAAUAAUUAACUAUAUAUAUAUAUUUUAGCGGAUUAGGAUACAUUACAUUUUAAUUUUAUUGCAAUGUAGUCGAUUACAGUGAAUUGUAUAUUUGUAUAAUAAGUUUAAAUAAAAUAAUAAACGAAAAAUUGAAUAAAUAAUAAUACAUUGAAUUUUGAUACAAUUAAAAAAACAGUGAAAAGUUAACAGCACAAAAAAAAAUUAUUCAAUUGACCCUUUUUGUAGUAAAAGUAGAAAUAUACGUAAAACUUUUCACCGUGUUUUUAAUAUUGGUCAUACUGAUUUUAAAUCAUUGUUCAGAAUAUUUAACCAAAUGUAGUUGAGUAUUAUACGCCCGUUUUGAAAAAUUCAAAUUGCAACAUAUGCAGAAAAAAUUAAAUUUUUAUUAAAUUUUUUUAUUAUAUAGUAUAAUAUCAUAAAUUUAAAAUAAUAUCAAAUAAAUGUCAAAGAAGAAUGAUAAUUGCUUUUAAUAUAUUAUAUUAAAUAGUUAGAGAAAUAUUAGGAAAUCAUAAAAUUAGUUAUGGAAAUAAUAUAAUCUUAAAAUUAGGUAUGGAAAGUAUCUCUCUCGUAUCUCUCUCGUAUCUCUCUCGUAUCUCUCUCGUGUAAGAAAAUAAAAAUAACUCUGAUUCGAUUAUAAGAAAUAAUUACCCCCAUUAAAUGAACCAAACGGAAGAGAAUAAGAGUAGUAAUAAUUAAUUACCUGGUUGAUUGAAGGCAAGAAUCGAUUUUUGGUAUCUUCGUCCUCCCAUUCAAGCUCAUUUAUCUGUUUUUGAGGAAGCAUAUGUAUUUCAAAGUCAUCAAGUCGUGGGACACUUGUAGCAUUUAAGGGAAGCUUUCUCAGCUUUGGACAAUCCCUUACACUUAUGCUCCUCAAAACCGGAAAGGGGAGAGGACUCCAGCAGAUACUCUCCAGCUUCGGCAAAUUUAUCAAAUAUAAGAAUUCUAGUUUCAGAAAUGGGAUAAUACCUUUGAAAUUGGUUGCUUUCUCUUUGUUUAUUAUUUCUCCCACUUCUCUUGAAUCUGUAAUCUGUAGGCCGACUAGAUUUGGAGCAAACAACAGCCAAGUCAGAUCCUUCAUGCUAUGGCACUUGCUUAUAUGCAGAUAUGAGAGGUUGGUAAAGCAUGGAAUUGUCGGAUUGUUAAUCUCCGAGACAUGGCUACUUAUCUCGACUGGCUUUUCAAUACUCUGGAGUGGCUUUUCUUGAAAAUCGAUAAUAUCCAUACUAGUUAUGCAGUUUGCCAACCUUUGAUUUCCAAAUAUUAGAUCCAAACUUAACUCCGCCGAUAGAGUUAUCCUUAGAUCUUGUAGAUUCUUCAAGAGCUGCAGCUCCUUUAAUAAACUAACAUCUCCAUGAACAUUAGACUUUCCCAGAUUCAACAAUCUUAAACUCAGCAACCUUGAUAUCCCUCUGAUACUAAAAAGUUUCUUUGUAUCAUAUAAAAUCAGGUGAGUUAGCCUUUUCAAUUCUUGGAGACCAACCGGCAGUUGCUCUAUACAUGUUUCCGACAAAUCAAGAAACUGCAAGGAGACCAGCUCUGAUAUCUGCUCUGGAAGUUCACCCAAUCUGUAAUUUUUUGAUAAAUCCAAGACAACUAGCUUUUGCAUUGACUGAAGGAAUUCACCUGAGAGAUUCUUCAAUUUAUUCUCUUGGAGGAACAGAGUUGUAAGUUCACAACAAUUGGAACGUCUGCAUGUUAUCUCUUCAAUUUUAUUAUUCAUUAGUGACAUUCUUCUCACAGCUCCCCAAUCCUUGACUUCUGGUAAUUCAACUAAUCCGACUCUUGCUCGCACAACAAAAGCCUCCUUCUGUUUCCCAAAAUCGGAUGCAAUCCACAGAGCCAUUUCACGAACCACAUCAUGCAUCAUAACACAACUUUCAUCAGACCGACUCCUGACUUCAGUUAGUAAGUUUGCACGGAUAAGGGUGCCGAGCAUCGUAUAACCCUUAUUCCUCGCUCUUUUAAUAUCCUCUUCUUCUCCGAUGAAUCCUUCGCAUAUCCAAUAGUUUAUCAAACUUCUUUUUUCUAUCUUAAAAUCUUCUGGAAACAGAGCACAAUACAAGAAACAGGACUUGAUAUUGUCAUCCAUCAAGCUAUCGUAACUGAACUUGAGAAUUGGAAGAAUAUUAUUUUCCAUGCCCGAAAACUCUGCAGCAGAUGUAGUCAAAACAUCGAUUGCAUGCUCCCAUUCUUGUACCAUAGUCUUAGAUGACAUCGCCUCACCAAUGACACUGAGCGCCAGUGGCAAACCAUGACAUUUUUCAGCAACUCUUUUUGCAAGCUCGACAGUUCCGGGAUCUUUUCUUAAUGAGUUCUCUCCCACUUUCUUUUUAAAUAAUUCCCAUGCUUCAUCUUCUUUCAAACAGUGGACUUCCAUGGGAUCAUCAUCUCCCAUCUGCCCACAUACUCCCCGAGAACGAGUGGUGAAUGCUACUUUGCAUCCAUUUUCUCUUGUUUGAGAUGGAAUUCCAAUGGCUUCUAAAUCCACUUUCUCCCAUAUAUCAUCUAGCAUCAAUACAAACCUCUUCCCCUGCAACUUUCUGUGUAUCUUAGUGGCCUUAUUACGUUCGUUUUUGUUCUUCCACUCGUCGUCACAAAGAUUUAAUAUUUCUGCAAUAUCGUCUUGAAUCUUCGAUUUCUGUGCGCCUUGCGACACCACGAUCCAUAUCACAACGUCGAACCGACCACUAAAUUCAGAGAGCUUAUUGUGGAUUUUCUUGAAAAGGGUAGUUUUACCGACACCGCCCAUACCGUGCAGACCCAUGAUUCCGACUCCAUCUUCCAUUAGGCGAUUCCACGCCUUCUUGAGCAUUUCUUCCUGACCAACCGUAGGGUAGCUAGGCAUCUCCUCCACUCCAUGAGAGUUUCUGUCGUUCCCACAUAAGUAACUAAAGAUACGUAUUACCGUUUGAUCAUCAAUAUUAUAAGUGAAAGAAAAACAAGUACCCAUAAAUUUGAUAAUAAAGAGAGAAAAGUUUCAGUAAGCAACAACGAAGCUCAAGAAGUGUUUUAGGUGAAAAAUUAUUGGAGAUAACAUCUUCUUGCUCCAAUACCAAUGGUUUAGAGAUUAUCAAAGAAAUUAAGAUAGAGACAUUGGCGUCGUUGAUUUCAGACCAUUCGGCUUCCAUGUGAUUACUCUUAUCUUUUUGGUGAGGUAGCUAAAGUCCAUACAAAUUAGUUUCUGGCAAUUAUAUUGGCAUCUAAUGACUUUUCAACUUUUCAAAGCUACGACUCGCUUUCAUUUUAGUUUAGAGUACACAGAGUAAAAAUUAGAAUCCUUUUUUUUUCUGAAUCCACAAGCAGAGUGAUAGAACCAAUAAUUAAGCCCUUUUGUCACUCUUAUAUCAAGUCUUGUAAGCACACAAAAAUAAAAUAAAUAACAUUGAAAUCAAAACGUUUAAAAUUAGGAAACUAAGUGCUAUUAAAGAAAUUAAGAAGACAAAAACAAUUUACUACAACUAAUAUUUUACCUGACAGUGGAGCCUAAGUUCAUACCUAGGCAUGCAACGGUAACUGAAAAAUGGAGAUAGAAAAGCUAACUGUAAUAAUGAAAAUGGAGUAAUUGGUCUGUUUUGAUUUUACAUGUUAAUACAUAGAUUAAUGGAGUUGAGAAUAGUGAGCUACAGUUCAAUUGCUAGAGACUACAGCACAAAUGUGGCCUAAACAAUACUACAGCUAGCACAAAUGGUUAAUUUAUUUUACAGUCUCUAGUUGAAAAAAAAAAGGAAUGACUUUGUCCCAUUCAAAAAAAAAAAGGAGUCAUUAAAAUAGAGAAAAAUAUAUAAAAGAAGCAACGUUCAUAUGUAGAAACUAAAAACUUUUGAAUGUAAUUAUAUUUCUCUGGAAAAUAAUAAGAAUGACUAUUUAAUAUAAUUUUUUUUUUUUAAAGGAGUCAUAAAAAUAGAGAAAAAUAUAUAAAAGAAGCAACGUUCAUAUGUAGAAACUAAAAACUUUUGAAUGUAAUUAUUUUUUUCUUGAAAAUAAGAAGAAAAAAGACCUUUGAAAUUUCAAUACGAGCGUGUGUGUUAAAGUGAUUCCACUUUCGUGCGACUGAAAAAAGUGUUCCACUUUCACUGCUGGUGACCUAAAAUGACGAUCGUAAACAAAAUGAGACGAUUCAAUUUUAUCAAAUUUACUAAUCAUUUAAAUGAUACCGUUUUUGAGAUAAUGAUUCGAAUCCAACCAAAUUAAAAUAAAGUCUUAAACUCAAUGGUAACGGUUAUAUAUAUAUCCAAUAAAGAUUUAUAGCAAACAUUACUAACUUCUCUAAAACCAUAUUCAUCAUUUGGUGUUUAAACUCUUAAACAUUACAAACAUUACUAACUUCUCUAUAACUUAUAAACAUUACUAACUCAUUUGGUGUUUAAACUCUCAUAUUCUUAGGAUAUAAAAAAUGAACAAAUAAAACAUAUUCAUCACUCCACAUAAAUUACAAAAUUUUAAUUAGCACAAAAAGAAGUACAUGAUCUUCCAAUGUUUUCAUGAAAAAAAAAAAAAGAAGAAGUACAUGAUCUUCAUGAAUUAGCAAAAUCAAAAGUUUUCAUCUUGAUCAUGUUAUAACCAUCACCCAAAUAUGUACGCUACAAGAUGAAAGAGAAAGCAACUAGUACAACCCAAAAUCAUAAUCCAAUAUAAGUAAUACAAUACAAAAAUGAAAAAUAUAUAAUCCAAGAGAACAACACACACUCCAGAAUAGAACACAACACAGUACUACAAGAAGAAAGAAAGCAAUAUUCAUCAUACUACCUAGAUCUAGUUUUUGUGGCAUGCAUCUCUUUCUGAAUAUAAUAAAUACUCUGAUUGAGCCAGCCACUUGGAUUUAGACAUUGUCUCUUAACUAAAAUAAUCACAAAGAUGCUGCAAGAUGAAAGAGUAAAGCAAACGAUACAAUCAAAUAAGAAAAUAGUAGUAGAAGAAGAAGAAGAAGCGUGGAUUCUGGUUUUAGACAGAAUCUAUGACCACAUACCGUGCAAUAUGCUGAGGAGAAAAAUGAAAGAAUGUUAGUAACAGUUUUUGUGGAAAGCAUUGAAAUUGAUAGGCACAACAAGUUCUCUAUUAUCUCUCUCGUGUAAGAAAAUAAAAAUAACUCUGAUUCGAUUACAAGAAAUGAACCAAACAUAAGAGAAUGACGAGUAAUAAUUAAUUACCUGUCCUAUGGAAGGCAUGAAUCGAUUUUUGGUAUCUUGGUCCUCCCAUUCAAGGUCAUACAUCUGUUUUGGAUCCAGCAUAUGUAUUCCAAAUUCAUCAAGUCGUGGGACACUUGUAGCAUUUAAGGGCAGCUUUCUCAGCUUUGGACAAUCCCUUACACUUAUGCGCCUCAAAAAUGGAAAGGGGAGAGGACUCCAGCAGAUACUCUCAAGCUUCGGCAAAUCUUCCAAACCUAAGUAUUCUAGUUUCAGAAAUGGUGUAAUACCUUUAAAAUUGGUUGCUUUCUCUUCGUUUAUUAUUUCUUCCACUUCUCUUGAAUCUUCAAUCUCUAGGGAGACAAGAUUUGGAGCAAACAAUACCCAACUCAGAUCCUUCAUGCUAUGCCACUUGUUUAUAUUCACGGCGAUGAGGUUGGUAAAGCAUGGAAUUGUCCGAUUGUUAAUCUCCGAGACAUGGCUACUUAUCGCCCAUAGGCUAAGAAGAUUCUCAAUACUCUGGAGUGGCUUUUCUUGAAAAUCGAUAAUAUCCAUAGUAGUUAUGCAGUUUGCCAACCUUUGAUUUCCUAAUAUUAGCUCCAAACUUAACUCCGCCGAUAGAGUUAUCCUUAAAUCUUGUAGAUUCUUCAAGAGCUGCAGCUCCUUUAAUAAACUAGCAUCUCCAUGAACUUUAGAGCUUACCAGAUUCAACAUUCUUAAACUCAGCAACCUUGAUAUCCCACUGAUACUACAAAGUUUAUUUGUAAAAAAUAAACCUAGGUAAGUUAGCUUUUUCAAUUCUUGGAGACCAACCGGUAGUUGCUCUAUACCUGUUUCCGACAAAUCAAGAAACCGCAAGGAGACCAGCUCUGAUAUCUGCUCUGGAAGUUCACUCAAGUCGAUAUUAUACGAUAAAUCCAAAACAACUAGCUUUUUCAUAGACUGAAGGAAUUCACCAGAGAGAUUCUUCAAUUUAUUCUCUUGGAGGAACAGAGUUGUAAGUUCACAACAAUUGGAACGUCUGCAUGUUAUCUCUUCAAUUUUAUUAUUCAUUAGUGACAUUCUUCUCACAGCUCCCCAAUCCUUGACUUCUGGUAAUUCAACUAAUCCGACUCUUGCUCGCACAACAAAAGCCUCCUUCUGUUUCCCAAAAUCGGAUGCAAUCCACAGAGCCAUUUCGCGAACCACGUCAUGCAUCAUAACACAACUUUCACCAUACCGACUCCUAACUUCAGUUAGUAAGUUUGCACGGAUAAGGGUGCCGAGCAUCGUAUAACCCUUAUUCCUCGCUCUUUUAAUAUCCUCUUCUUCUCCGAUGAAUCCUUCGCAUAUCCAAUAGUUUAUCAAACUUCUUUUUUCUAUCUUAAAAUCUUCUGGAAACAGAGCACAAUACAAGAAACAGGACUUGAUAUUGUCAUCCAUCAAGCUAUCGUAACUGAACUUGAGAAUUGGAAGAAUAUUAUUUUCCAUGCCCGAAAACUUUGCAGCAGAUGUAGUCAAAACAUCGAUUGCAUGCUCCCAUUCUUGUACUGUAUUUUUAGAUGACAUUGCUUUACCAAUGAUACUAAGCGCCAGUGGCAAACCAUCGCAUUUUUCAGCAACCUUUUUGGCUAGCUCGACGGUUCCGGGAUCACUUCUUAAGGUAUUGUCUCCGACCUUGGUUUUAAACAGUUCCCAUGCUUCAUCUCGUUUCAAACAAUUGACUUGCAUAGGUUCAUGGUCCCCCAUCCGUCCACAUACUUCCCGGGAACGAGUGGUGAAUGCUACUUUGCAUCCAUUUUCUCUGGUUGGAAACGGUACUCCGAUGGCUUCUAAAUCCACUUCCUCCCAUAUAUCAUCUAGCAUCAAAACAAAUCUCUUCCCCUUUAAAACAGUGUGUAUCUUAGUGGCCUUAUCAAUGUCAUUCUUGUUCUUCCACUCGUCGCCACAAAGAUGUAGCUUUUCUGCAAUAUCUUCUUGAAGCUUUGAUAUCGUUGCACCUUGAGAUACCACGAUCCAGAUCACAACAUCAAAAGUACUAUUUAAGAGCUUAUUGUGGAUUUUUUUGAAAAGGGUAGUUUUACCCACACCACCCAUACCGUGCAGUCCCAAGAUUCCAACUCCAUCUUCCAUUAAGCGUUUCCAGGCCUUCUCAAACAUUUCUUCCUGACCAACCGUAGGCUGAGUAGGCAUCUCCUCCACUCCAGGAGAGUCUCUGUUGAUGAUCCCACAUAAUAAACUAUAUAAUUUUAUUAGAUCAUCAACAGUAAACUGGAAAGAACAACAAUUCCCCAUAAAUUUGAUAAAUAAAGAGAGAAAAGUUUCAGUAAGCAACAACGAAGCUAGCUAAAGCUGAAGUAGAAGAAGUGUUUUAGGUGACAAAAUAUUGGAGAUAACAUCGUCUUGCUACAAUACCAAUGGUUUAGAGAUUAUCAAAGAAAAUAAUUAAGAUAGAGAAAGACAUUGGCGUCGUUGUUUUCAGACCACUCGGUUUACAAAUUAGUUUCUAUUGACUUUUCAAAGUGACGACUCGCUUUCAUUUUAGUAUAGACUAUAUUGAGUAAAAAAUUAAAAUCUUUCUUUCUGAACCCACAAGCAGAGUGAUCGAACCAAUAAUUACGCCAUUUUGUUACUCUUGUAUCAAGUCUCGUAAGCACACAAAAAAAAAAACAUUGAAAUCAAAACAUUUUCAAAAUAGGAAACAAUUAAGAAGACUAUUAGGGGAUAAGUACAUAUAUUAUCAUAUACUUAUAUUUGUAUGGCGACAAAAAAAAUAAAAAAUACUUAUAUUUGUAUUAGGAUAAAGACCAAAACAAUUGACUAAAACUAGUAUUAUACCUGACAGUGGAGCCUGAGUUCAUACCUAGGCAUGCAACGGUAACUGAAAAUGUAGAUAGAAAAGCUAAUUGUAAUAAUAAAAAAAUGGAGUAAUUGGUUUGUUAAUACAUUAAUGAUUUGUGAUUUUACAUGUUAAUACAUUAAUGGAGUUGAGAAUAGUGAGCUACAUUUCAAUUGCUAGAUGUUCAGUUCAGAUUUUAGAUGAUUUGGAAUUGGUUCAAGUAACACUACAGCACAAAUGUGGCCUAAACAAAACUACAGCACACAUGGUUAAAAAAAUUUUAAGUCUCUAGUUGAAAAAUAAAAAAAUGACUAUUUAAUAUAAAAUUCAAAAAAAAGGAGUCAUAAAAAUAGAGAAAAAUAUAUAAAAUAAAAGAAGCAACGUUCAUAUGUAGAAACUAAAAACUUUUCAAUGUAAUUAUUUUUCUCUUGAAAAUAAGAAGAAAAAAAACCUUUGAAAUUUCAAUGCGAGUGUGUGUGUUAAAGUGAUUCCACUUUCGUGCGACUGAAAAAAAGUGUUCCACUUUCACUGCUGGUGACCUAAAAUGACGAUCUUAAACAAAAUGUGACGAUUCAAUUUUAUAAAAUUUACUAAUCAUUUAAAUGAUACCGUUUUUGAGAUAAUGAUUCGAAUUCAACCAAAUUAAAAAAUUCUUACUAAAUGGUAACGGUUAUAUAUUCAUCAAAGAUUUAUAGCAAACAUUACUAACUUCUCUAAAACCAUAUUCAUCAUUUGGUGUUUAAACUCUUAAACAUUACAAACAUUACUAACUUCUCUAAAACUUAUAAACAUUACUAACUCAUUUGGUGUUUAAACUCUCAUAUUCUUAGGAUAUAAAAAAAGAACAAAUAAAACCAUAUUCAUCAUUCCACAGAAAUUACAAAAUUUUAAUUACCACAAAAAGAAGAACACACAAAUGAAUUACGGAGGUAACGUAAUUUAGUAGCUUUUACGAAUUUUACAAAAUCAAACGUCAAAAUGUGAAAAAAAAAAAAAAAUCCCCGGAAUAUUCGUUUUAUUUUUCUUCAGAGAAAUAUGAAACACUCUAACGAAACUAGAGGGUUCUCUAACAAUUCCUCAGUGGUAUAACCGUAAUUCUCAUGCUGCUCUUGAUCCAACCCGUUUUUAUUCGGAUCUUGCCUAACCCGACCCGGGGACUGAUUAUUCUUCCUAGUCCUCGCCCCACCCACCCGACUAUUCUGAUUCGGAUCCAUCACCGAUCUGUUCGUCGCCGGCGAUCUCGACCUUCUCCCGGAUCUCUCACCCGGGUCUCUCACACCCGACCCGUAUCUCGCUCCGUUACACGUACUGUUGUUUCUCUUACGUGGAGACUGAUCAGUCCUCCGGGUCGGGUAAUUAUUAUUACCCGUGACCCGGGUCCGAGUCUUCGCCGGAGAUCUCUGAGUCUUCCUCUGUUUCAUCAUCACGUCUUCCUCAUCGUAGCUAUUAAUCACAACCGUCGAAGACACACUCUCACUCAAACUCAAGCUACAAACCUCCGAAACCUCCGAGCCUUCUUCAUGAUCAGUCGAACCGGGUCGGAUCGUAACCGGGUCUGAAACCAUUUUCAAGAAGCCUUGUUUUAUCUUCUCCUCAUCUUCUCGGAUCUUGGUCUUCACCGGAUCUUUGAUCGUCGAAGUGUGCAUAUUAGUAGAAGUAGUGAGCAAAGUUGUCUCAGACAAGACUUCUUUAACUACUGUCUCUUCUUCGACAAUGGUCGUGUUCUUGUCGGAAACGUUCUCGUUUUCACGAUCAGUGGUGCCGGGGCUGAAGCAGCAAUUACCCAUUAGAGAGAAUGAGAAGCGACGACGUAGUUUGAUCGGAGAUUAGAGAGUAGCAGUAGUAGUAGUAAUAACUCUUCUGGUUGUGUUAUAAUUGUGUGGUGACAGCAGAGGAUGAUUGUGAUGAAGUAAGAGUAUUUAUUGUUAAUAUUUUUUUUUUGGGACAGUUGAUAAUAAUAAUAAUGUGUAAAAAGAUAAAUAAUACAACUACCCCUUAAAGUCUCUUUAGUUUUAUAAUGAUUUCAAAUAGUAAUUAUGUCUGUUGAAUAAACUUAAAACCCCCAUGCAAAUUUCAAUUUUUCUUGAUAUAUAAUGACGUUAAUAAAGUUAUGAUAACUUUUUAGACAAGUAAAUUUUAAAAAAUCUUUACACAAGAUGAGUUGUUAAUUAUGUACUUACGACAAAAAAAAGAAGUGACGUAAUUAGAUCCUUUCGGGAAGGAUUUACUAGUGGAGUUUUUUGUUUAUUGUUUUCAAAUUUGAUUGGAUCCAAAAAUCUAUAGAAAAAAUAUUGUAGUUGUUGUUUUAAAAAAAGUUGUAAAUUUAAUUUCUAGUCACAUGACUCACAUGCAUAAAAAUGGCUAUAGAUCUAAAACAAGCCAUCUCCCAAAGAGUUCAUUGAACUAAACAUUUGAUUUUGCCUAACAUUUUUAAGCUUCCGGGCAAAGUACAAAAGCAGACGUAGUUUAUUUAGGCUUUGAAUGGCAAAACAUGUUAAGCAGAGCAGAUCAAGUAUUUUAGGCAGAUCUAACAAAAAAAAGCAGAUCAAACAGAUUUGACAGUUCAAGUGCAGAUCAAAUAUUAAACACUUUAAAAUAGAGGUGUUUGAUCUGCUUUGAAAAAACAUGACUAUAAAAUAAUUUUUUCUUUUUUUUUUGGUCCACCUACAGAUUUUUAGCAGGAAAACUGCCUUUAUAAAUGAUAAUUAUUAAUUUUGAUGAAUGGUGAACAAAGUGCAGUUUAUCUGUCCCACUAUAUAUCUGCUUUAUAUCUGUCUUUCCAUUCAAACCCUUAGUUCUGUAAGACUGUAACAAUUCAAUUCAUGAAACAGCAGAGCUGACACACUAAUUUGGAGUUUUUUUGGAGGACCUGAUUAUAUAUAAAGAGAAUGUUUGUUUUUACUUAGGCAGUGAUAAUUACGAAGGUGAGAGACUUAUGUCAGAGAUCUGAAAUCGUAUCAUAACGUAAGCUAGCCCUGGGCAAAAAGCCCGUACCCGAAGCCCAUACCCGAACCCGGCCCGUUAGGCCCGUACCGAACCCGAACCCGAUUAAAGAGGAUACCCGAUCGGGUUUUGGUUUUGAAACUUCCGGGUUCGGGUCCGGGUUCGGGUAAACCCGAAGACCCGACCAUACCCGAUUAAACCUGAUUUCAUUCAUGCCUUUGUAAUUUUGUUGAUCGAUUAAGAUUUCAUUGCCCAGAAACAGAAUCGAUUUGCUUCCAUACAACAAACAAACUGGAUUCACAUCCCAGAGAUGCUCCUCCUCCCUCUGAGUUUUCAACAAAUAAUUCUGAGGUGAGUUUUCUAGUUUGUCUAUGUCUUUCUCUCUCGUACGUCUCUCUCUAGCACCAUGUUUAUUGAAUUCAGUGUGUUCUGCGUUUUUUGUUUUUGUUCUUACUUCUUAGUAUUGAAGCGUCUGUUGUUAGUUUGAUUUAUAAAGCGUGUGUUCUUAGUAGCGUUUUAGUGAAGUCAGUCUUGGAAUCGUGUGUUCUUAUAUAAUGGAGUGAUUGGAAUCAUGUGUUCUUAUAUAUGAUUUGUGUUCUUAUAUAUGUUCUCUGUAACUCUUCUGGUUUCUAUGUUUAGACCCUUUUGUAGAUGAUCUUCUUGUUCUGUAAUCUGUAUCACAUUUAUCAAAUGAUUCUGUCAGAAAAAAAAAUGUGACUAUGACUAACCUUCAUGUUCCGGCCGAAGAGAUGCCUUUUUUGAUAUAAUAUAGUAUAGAGCUUGUGUGAUAUUCGCUUCUGUAUAUUUCUGGUGGGUCAAAUGUAGAUCUGUCCUAAAUGUGUCAAACAGAUUCUUUCUUACACAUAUAAAUAUAUAAUUAGAGAGUUUGGAUCACUAGAUGAAGACAAGAGAUGACUUGGGAAACUAAAGAAGAUAUAAGUGUUUAAAAUAAUUUGUUUGACUCAUGAACGUGUGUAAGGAAGCUCAUGCUUCUUUGAGACAACUCAUGAACGUGGCAUUGUACCAAAGUAGGUUUAUAUACAUACACAUGCUUCUUUGAGUUGUGGGUUCUAGCUCUACUUCGUAUCAAGACAUUGUUGCCAUUACCCGCAGCCACACACUUGUAUGUUUAAGUCAUUUAAUUUUUCAUCUCUUCUUUAUAGAUUGCAUGAAUCUUAUUAGGACACAUUUAGGGGAAGAGUAUGUGAGUUCCCUGUCGUGAAUGGUGUUCAAUAUAAAGGAGAUGGUUAUACUUCCUGCAAGCGUAUGUUUUUGUAAGUCUUCUUGUUUUUUUUUUUUUCUAUUUUCUCUCAUUGUACACUUUUGUUCAGUGAUCUUAUAAAUUUCUCUUUAUCUUGUUCUUGGUCCAGCUUAUGGACCUGCAAGAUGUUCAAUGAACGAUGGAGGCUGCUGGUCUGAAACUAGAAAGGGUCUAACUUUCUCUGCUUGUUUGGUUAAGUGACUAAUGCUUUUUCUUCCUCUUUGCUAAAGUUUGAUUUUUUUUUUCUGACUUUCUAUGUAUUUGAUAUAGAACUCGGGAACAUCAUGAUGUCGUUGCCCUUUAGGCUUCCAUGGAGAUGGUCUGAACCAAGGCGAUAAGUAAAUAAGAAUAGUUGUUAUUAAGAACCCGAAACAAAACCGAACCCGAACCCGAAAAACCCGAUCUGAACCCGAGCCCGCCCGAAGAUAUAUAUAUAUCCGAAUGGGCUUUAGAGGUCUAAACCCGAAAACCCGAAAACCCGAAAAGCCCGGCCCGACCCCGAACGGGCCCCCGAACGCCCAGGGCUAACGUAAGCCGAAUCUUUUGACCAGAAAAAAAACAUGUAAGACGAAUCUAAAAAGUGGACAGAUCUAGUUCUCGAUUAUAGCAUAUUCAUGACCACUUCAGUUCCUGACAAAUCUUGAAUACAUAUAUAAGUAAGCCACGGUUUUUGCAGUUUGGUUCCUCUAAUUCUGGUGUAGCCGAUAGGUAUAUGGUCUCCUAGCAUCAACACAGAGACCCCUUUUGAGUACAUACCUAUCUGCAAAUC